AUAAUCUUUCCUUGUUAAUAUAGGUCACAUGUAUGGUAGUUAGGACUCCUAGCCUUGUAUAUAUAUAUAUUUCUCAAUUGUAAGUAGAAAUUACAUGAAUGAGAAUUAAGGUUUUUCUUCUUUCUCUCUCUCUCAACAUGGUAUCAGAGCCAAGGGAGAAAACCUAAUUCUUUCCAGUUUCCCGUGUCAUCAACUCCGGGAAACCUUCCGGUGACCGUGUUUCAUUCCGAUCACCUUCCCCAUCUCCCAAUACUUUCUGGUCAGUCGGAUCGUCGUCAGAAAACACUCACCACCGGCAAACUUUUCCGACGAACUUUCCGACGACGUCUUUUUCCGACACUGACCAUACCAAAAGGAGCGCCUGGAGGAGAUCUCCAACUUUUGUGAAGGCACCGGAACCAAAAGAUCAUCCACGCGCCGGCCACGCGCAAUUUUUCGGCCGACGACUGCAUCUCACGCACCAACGCGUGAGGGCGCGUGAGGACUUUCCUGGCCACGCGCCUCCUCCUCCAGCCUCGCCUGAUGCCGACUAGCCUUCCUUCAUCCCUGGUUCUGCCAUCUGAGCCCUGCAUGUACCUCUUUUAGGGUUUUUUUGCCUCCGCCGACCCUCCAAACAGUUUUUCCGGCGAGCUUCGGCUACUUUUUCUCCAUCCUAAUCCCUGCACGUGCCUAAGGAAGUGUUCUUCUACCUUUCCGGUGGUGCCACGCCGCGAUCUGAAGCCGUCUCCCUUUCCAGUGGUGCCAUGCCGCAAUCUGCAACCGUAUUAGGGCUCUCUUCGAUCCAAAUAUACUUCAUUCUCCAGAUAAGUAGAUAUGGCUACUAAAACUUCCAUUUUUUCCUCUGUUAUAUCUGGAUCUCCUAUGAUUACUUCAGAGAAAUUGGUUGGCAGUGACAAUUAUCUUUCCUGGUCUACCUCUGUUGAACUUUGGUUUAUGGGUCAAGGAUAUGAGGAUCACUUGAUUACACAGGAGGCAGAUAUCCCUGAGGUUGACCGCGUACAGUGGAGGAAGAUAGAUGCACAGUUAUGUAGUGUAUUAUGGCAAUCGGUUGAUCCUAAGAUUCUUCUUCAUCUUCGGGCCUACAAAACUUGUUUUAAAUUUUGGACUCAGGCCAAAGGAUUAUACACGAAUGAUAUCCAGCGUCUUUAUAAGGUAGCUUCUGCUAUUGUCCAUAUCAGCCAACAGGACUUGGAUCUAUCUACUUAUAUUGGCCAGAUUGCCUCUCUUAAGAAGGAGUUCUUGACUGUGAUGCCUCUUAUUCCUGAUGUUGGGGCUCAACAAACACAGCUUGGCAAGUUCUUCAUGGUUCUUACUCUUAUUGGCCUCCGUCCGGAUCUUGAGCCUGUCCGUGAUCAAAUUCUUAGUAGUUUAUCAGAUCCGUCCUUGGAUGAUGUGUUUUCUCGCCUCCUCCGUAUCUCCUCCACUCAGACUUUGCCAUUUGAUAGCACUUCAGAUUCUUCUGUGUUAGUUUCUCACACUAGCUCUCAAGGAGGACGCAAUAGUAACCGAGGUAGAGGCCAACGUCCUCAUUGCACCUAUUGCAAUAAACUUGGCCACACACGCGAUCGUUGCUAUCAGUUACAUGGACGGCCUCCUCGCACUGCCCAUGUGACCCAGUCCUCUGAUUCUCAGCUGCCUCAGCCUCCGAGCUCCUCCGCAUCUCAGGCAUCUCAGGCUUCUGUUGCCUCUGUUGUCUAGCCUGGUAAUGCCUUGGCUUGCCUUACCCACACAUCUUCUCUUGGACCCUGGAUUCUAGAUUUUGGAGCUUCUGAUCACCUAUCUGGUAAUAAGGAUCUUUUCUCCUCUAUUACUACUACCUCUGCUUUACCUAAUGUUACCUUAGCUAAUGGUUCUCAAACUGUAGGUAAAGGUAUUGGUUUGGCCCUUCCUCUGCCUUCUCUACCUCUCACUUCUGUCCUUUAUACUCCUAAAUAUCCUAUUAAUCUUAUUUCCAUCAGCAAAAUCACUCGUACUCUUAAUUGCUCUAUUACUUUUUCUGAUAAAUUUGUGACCUUGCAGGACCGGAGUACGGGGAAGACGAUUGGCAUAGGACGUGAGUCUCAAGGCCUCUAUCACCUCACCUCGGAUUCAUCUCCUGUAGUUUGCAUUUCCACUGAUGCUCCUCUCCUCAUUCACAAUCGUCUGGGCCACUCCAGUCUCUCCAAGUUCCAGAAAAUGGUCCCUCGUUUUUCCACUUUCUCGUCGCUUCCGUGUGAGUCAUGUCAGCUUGGGAAACAUACUCGUCUCUCGUUACCAAAGCGUUUGAAUAAUCGGGCAAAGUCUCCUUUUGAGCUUGUCCACACUGAUGUUUGGGGUCCUUGUUGGACUGCGUCUACUUUAGGAUUUCAGUAUUUUGUCACUUUCAUUGAUGACUAUUCUUGAUGUACUUGGUUAUUUUUAAUGAAAAAUCGAGCUGAGUAUUCUCUAUUUUCCAGAAAUUUUAUGCUGAAAUCCAAACUCAAUUCAAUAUUUCUAUUCGUGUGUUACGCAGUGACAAUGCCAGGGAAUAUUUUUCAACCCCAUUACUUCGUUUAUGUCUCAUCAUGGGAUUCUUCAUCAGUCUUCUUAUGCUCAUACUCCUCAAAAAAAUGGGGUAGCUGAACGCAAGAAUCGAUCGACAUCUUGUUGAGACAGCUCAUACUAUCCUCCUCCAUAGUAAUGUUCCUUUUCGUUUUUGGGGGGACGCUGUUCUUACCGCUUGUUAUUUGAUUAAUCGUAUGCCCUCUUCUGUCUUACACGAUCAGAUUCCUCACUCCCUUCUCUUCCCUGACCAACCACUUUAUUUCCUUCCUCCUCGUGUCUUUGGUUGUACUUGCUUUGUUCAUAUUCUCACUCCUGGACAGGACAAGCUUUCCGCCAAAGCCAUGAAGUGCCUCUUCUUGGGAUAUUCCAGACUUCAGAAGGGUUAUCGUUGUUAUUCCCUUGAGACUCAUCGAUACUUUAUCUCCGCUGAUGUCACCUUCUUUGAGGACUCACCAUUCUUUUCGGACUCACCAUUAUUUUCCACCACUUCUGAGUCUCUUCCUGUUUCUAAAGUCUUGCCCAUUCCCAUUGUCUCCCCACCUGAUGCUAUGCCUCCUCGACCACUUCAGGUUUAUCAUCGUCGCCCUCGUGUCGUUGCUCCUCUCCCUUUUGCUGAGGCACCUGCUGACUCACUUCCUAUCCCUUUGGCUUCACCUGCCCCGGCUCUGCCUUCUCCUAAUGACUUACCCAUUGUUGUUCGGAAAGGUACUCGCUCUACUCGUAAUCCUCAUCCUAUUUACAAUUUUUUGAGUUAUCAUCGAUUAUCUUCACCCUAUUUUGCUUUUGUUUCUGCUAUAUCCUCNNNNNNNNNNNNNNNNNNNNNNNNNNNNNNNNNNNNNNNNNNNNNNNNNNNNNNNNNNNNNNNNNNNNNNNNNNNNNNNNNNNNNNNNNNNNNNNNNNNNAGGUUGGUCCUGAUGGUCAAGUUGAUCGCCUUAAGACCCGCUUAGUUGCUAAAGGCUAUACUCAGGUUUAUGGUUCUGAUUAUGGUGACACAUUCUCCCCUGUUGCCAAGAUUGCUUCUGUCCGUCUGCUUCUCUCCAUGGCUGCUAUGUGUUCUUCGCCUCUUUAUCAGUUGGAUAUUAAAAAUGCCUUCCUUCAUGGUGAUCUUGCCGAGGAAUUUUAUAUGGAGCAACCUCCUGGUUUUGUUGCUCAGGGAGAGUCUGGUUUAGUGUGCAGGUUACGCCGUUCUCUAUAUGGCUUGAAACAAUCUCCUCGAGCAUGGUUUGGCCGUUUUAGUUCUGUUGUUCAAGAGUUUGGCAUGCUUCACAGUACAGCAGACCAUUCAGUUUUCUAUCAUCAUAACUCCUUGGGGCAGUGUAUUUAUUUGGUUGUUUAUGUGGACGACAUCGUCAUUACAGGCAGUGAUCAAGAUGGUAUUCAAAAACUAAAGCAACAUCUUUUUACCCACUUUCAGACCAAAGACUUAGGGAAACUCAAGUAUUUCUUGGGAAUUGAGAUAGCUCAAUCCAGUUCUGGUGUGGUCCUUUCCCAAAGGAAGUAUGCUUUAGACAUCCUGGAAGAAACCGAUAUGUUAGACUGUAAACCGGUAGACACACCUAUGGAUCCGAAUGUCAAACUUGUACCAGGAUAGGGGGAGCCUUUAGGAGACCCCGGCAGAUAUCGACGGCUCGUAGGUAAAUUGAACUAUCUCACCAUUACUCGUCCAGACAUUUCUUUUCCUAUGAGUGUUGUUAGUCAAUUCCUAAAGUCACCAUGUGAUAGCCAUUGGGAUGCCGUAAUCCGCAUUCUUCAAUAUAUCAAAAGUACACCAGGCCAAGGUGUGUUGUACGAGAACAGAGGUCAUACUCAGGUUGUUGGUUACACAGAUGCAGAUUGGGCUGACUCACUCACAGAUAAACGUUCCACUUCAGGGUACUGUGUUUUUAUUGGAGGUAAUCUAAUAUCUUGGAAGAGUAAGAAACAAGAUGUAGUGACCAGAUCUAGCGUUGAAACCGAGUAUCGAGCUAUUGCUUUGGCAACAUGUGAACUCAUAUGGUUGAGACAUCUUCUUCGAGAGUUGAGAUUUGGAAAGGAUGAACAGAUGAAACUCAUCUGUGAUAACCAAGCCGCAUUACAUAUUGCAUCCAAUCCAGUCUUUCAUGAAAGGACCAAGCAUAUUGAAGUUGAAUGUCAUUUCAUUAGAGAGAAGAUCGCAUCAGGAUGUGUUGCUACAAGUUUUGUUAAUUCAAAUGAUCAACUAGCAGACAUCUUCACUAAAUCUCUCAGAGGUCCUAGGAUUAAAUAUAUUUGUAACAAGCUUGGUGCAUAUGACGUAUAUGCUCCAGCUUGAGGGGGAGUGUUGAAUAUAAUGUAUUUAUAGUGUAUAAUCUUUCCUUGUUAAUAUAGGUCACAUGUAUGGUAGUUAGGACUCCUAGCCUUGUAUAUAUAUAUAUUUCUCAAUUGUAAGUAGAAAUUACAUGAAUGAGAAUUAAGGUUUUUCUUCUCUCUCUCUCUCUCUCAACAUACACCAAGGUUGAAGCUUAGCUAGAUUCAAGCCCAUUUGCUAAUAUCUAGUGCUGGAAGCAGUCAAGUUCAUAUGGGUCCAGUCGAUCAUAGUUCACAAUUAAAGGAAUCUUCUU
rnacentral:lncRNA from 1 species